rnacentral:rRNA from 1 species
UACGAAGGGGGCUAGCGUUGCUCGGAAUCACUGGGCGUAAAGCGCACGUAGGCGGAUCUUUAAGUCAGGGGUGAAAUCCUGGAGCCUCAACUCCAGAACUGCCUUUGAUACUGAGGAUCUUGAGUCCGGGAGAGGUGAGUGGAACUCCGAGUGUAGAGGUGAAAUUCGUAGAUAUUCGCAAGAACACCAGUGGCGAAGGCGGCUCACUGGCCCGAUACUGACGCUGAGGCACGAAAGCGUGGGGAGCAAACAGGG